rfam:Schistosoma rodhaini strain Burundi genome assembly, scaffold: SROB_scaffold0002687
GCACUGCUGAGGAGUCCUAUUCUAGGACGAAAUGGUCGUCCAGUAC